rnacentral:rRNA from 1 species
AAUCUUCGCGCUGCACUCACCAAUGCUCAGAAGGGCUCCAUGUCUGCCUCUGCCUACUUUGGCCAGAUGCGCUCUCUCUCCGACGAGCUCACCGCCGCGGGCAAACCCCUUGGCGACGGGGAACUCAUCUCUUUCAUUGUCGCCGGACUUGACAUGGACUAUCAACCCAUUAUAUCCGCUCUCGACGUCCGCACCGAGCCCAUCACCGUCGACGGCCUCUUCUCCCUCGUGUCCAACUUCGAUCAGCGCAUGGAGAUGUUUCACGGUGCUGGCAAUGGCGGCUUCAAGUCCUCCGCCAACAUCGCCUCGCGGGGCCGUUCUGGUGGUGGAAACGGCGGCUACCGCAAAGGAGGGGGUGGUGGCUCUCGCGGCGGUGGCGGCGGCUAUAACGCUGCUGCUGGUGGCUCCAGCGACGGCGCUCCUGGUGGCUACUACAUGGCGGGCGGUGGCGGCGGCCACCCAAACCCUAACUCUGGUGGCGGCUAUGGCGCCCACCAGAACGGCGGGGGUCAUCAGGGGGGUUCUGGUGGAAGCAGCGGCUACUUUCACCAGAACCAGAACCCUUCUGGUGGUGGCGGCUACAAUCGGCGCAACAACAACAACAAUCGACGUCCCUUUCAAGGGUAUGAAGGGUAUGAAAAAAAGUGUCAAAUUUGCAAAAAAAAACAAACCAUAUUGCAAAAGACUGUGAUUGGCGCUACGCCGAUGAUAAAAACUCCCCAAAAAAGAAAGUUGCAGCUGCAGCCGACGUGUCUUAUGGCGUUGAUACCAACUGGUAUAUGGACACGGGUGCCACCAACCACAUCACAGGCGAGUUGGACAGACUGA